GACGAACGCUGGCGGCGUGCUUAACACAUGCAAGUCGAACGGAAAGGCCCUGCUUUUGUGGGGUGCUCGAGUGGCGAACGGGUGAGUAACACGUGAGUAACCUGCCCUUGACUUUGGGAUAACUUCAGGAAACUGGGGCUAAUACCGGAUAGGAGCUCCUGCUGCAUGGUGGGGGUUGGAAAGUUUCGGCGGUUGGGGAUGGACUCGCGGCUUAUCAGCUUGUUGGUGGGGUAGUGGCUUACCAAGGCUUUGACGGGUAGCCGGCCUGAGAGGGUGACCGGCCAAAUUGGGACUGAGAGACGGCCCAGACUCCUACGGGAGGCAGCAGUGGGGAAUAUUGAACAAUGGGCGGAAGCCUGAUGCAGCAACGCCGCGUGCGGGAUGACGGCCUUCGGGUUGUAAACCGCUUUCGCCUGUGACGAAGCGUGAGUGACGGUAAUGGGUAAAGAAGCACCGGCUAACUACGUG
rnacentral:rRNA from 1 species